AUGAAGGCAACAUUAAGAACUAUCGUCCCACAUACUCUGCAUAAGUUGUGUCGGUGGCAUAUCAUGAAGAAGCACAAAGACCACCUCGCCUUGCUGUAUAAGGCGGAGAAACUCAAGGAUGACCUUAAUGUGGUGCUGAACCACCCACUAAUGCCGUUAGAAUUUGAAUGAGCAUGGAAGGACCUCAGUCAGAGAUACAACUAGCAAGAAGACGAAGUGAUGAAUUCGCUGUGGGAAGACAGGCACGAGUGGAUCUGGGCUUACUACAAGGAAAUUUUCUGUGCUCGGAUGACUUCCACGCAAAGAAGCGAGAGCAUGAACCGCAUACUGAAGAAAAACUUUGUCAAAGAGAAGCAUGAUCUCCAUCUGUUUGCUCAGCAGGUGGACAAGUGCAUUCAGACCAGGAAGGCCGUCGAGCACGCAGAGACAAUAGUAAAUGAGUCAGAGAUAAAGACAACAACCCAGUUUGGGUUCAAAAUUCAGCUAUCAAAAGUGUAUACAAGGGCAGUGUUUGUAGAUUUCAAAGAAACACUCUACCGUAGCACUGCAUUCAGAGCAAAACGGUGCCCCGAGAACCCGACAAAGUAUCUCGUACACCACUACAACAGAUCGGAUGCAUUUGACUGGGCAAGGCAUAAUUUUCAAGUGGCCGCCGAUGAACAGAAAGGUGUCUACGAAUGUGAAUGCAAACUCUGGACACAUACAGGGCUCUUUUGCGUCCAUGUGUUAUGCAUGCUUUCUCAUUUGAGAGUACUCAAGAUUCCUGAGGUGUACACCAUGAAAAGAUACACCCGUAACGCAAGAUCAAAUGCGACGUUUGACAGACGAGACUAUGAACAAACAACACUAGAUGGAACAUCGCUUUUUUGCCGUAGAAAAUUGCUGACAGAAACAACAAUGGACCUUGCAAACAGAGCGACAAGGUCCGACGCUGGGUGCCACAAAGCGUUGUCUGGUAUGAUGGCACUGAUCGAGGAAGUUGAUGUGCUCAACGAAGAAGAAGAAGCAGCAGCAAAACUAAAGCAAGCAGAGAAAUCCCAGCAUGACAACAAUGCCGAGCAAGUAGAAAAUACCGAACACAGCGGAACUGGUGCUAUCAAAAAAGAAACAAUUAUUCCACCUCCUGUUUCGAACAUAAGAGGAAGGAAGAAAGGGGGCGACGCAACCCAAAAAAGGUUGCAUGCAAGGAGAAAAAUGAUGACAAAAACAAUAAGCCACAGCCUGAGCUGGACAGUGAUGGUCACCCACUGGGAAUAA
rnacentral:rRNA from 1 species